UACGUAGGGUGCGAGCGUUAAUCGGAAUUACUGGGCGUAAAGCGUGCGUAGGCGGUUUGUUAAGUCUGUUGUGAAAUCCCCGGGCUCAACCUGGGAAUGGCAAUUGAUACUGGCAAGCUAGAGUGUGUCAGAGGAUGGUGGAAUUCCCGGUGUAGCGGUGAAAUGCGUAGAGAUCGGGAGGAACAUCAGUGGCGAAGGCGGCCAUCUGGGACAACACUGACGCUGAGGCACGAAAGCGUGGGGAGCAAACAGG
rnacentral:rRNA from 1 species